UUGCUCACCUGAACGCCAUGCCUUCUAAUCCCUUCCUCAUAGUCUAGCUCACCUGAAUGCCCACAUCCUUUCAUCCCUCAGAUUCUUGCGAUCAAGCAGCAGCAAUUCCUACUACGGAUACAGUUGAAUGCUCUCAAAUUUUCAUUUCUUUGAUCAUUUUCGGCUUCGGAGUUGGAUAAACGCCAUACUUCAUUGACCAAGUAUAUAUAUACCUCAC
rnacentral:misc_RNA from 1 species